UACAGAGGGUGCGAGCGUUAAUCGGAAUUACUGGGCGUAAAGCGUGCGUAGACGGUUAUUUAAGUCAGGUGUGAAAGCCCCGGGCUCAACCUGGGAAUUGCAUUUGAGACUGAAUAGCUAGGGUGCGGAAGAGGGAAGCGGAAUUUCCGGUGUAGCGGUGAAAUGCGUAGAUAUGCGGAGGAACACCGAUGGCGAAGGCAAUCCCCUGGGCCUGCACUGACGCUCAUGCACGAAAGCGUGGGGAGCAAACAGG
rnacentral:rRNA from 1 species